UGGUUAGUGAUUUGGGCUCUGACGGGACUUCAGCAGCAGGUACCGCUCAGCCAAAAUCUGAGCAGGGAAGCAGCACUUUGGAGACAGAGUGUAUCUGAGAGGCUGUUCAGGCACCCUCCAGAGCAGGCCUGCCUCCCCUCCCAGGUAAUUUUAGCGCCUAUGGCACCACACCCCACUUGGAAGGCGAGGAUGUCAAACAGGUUGGCUUUCCCUCAGGGGAGCGGGUGGAGUAAGCGCGCGCUGGCUCCCUUCUCACUGGCUCCCCUGCUCUCCGCCUUCGCCGCCUGGGCGAUAAAUACGUUUCUUAGUGGGCAGGUGGCACCUACGGUGCUGCGCGUGGCUUUGCCAUAGUGGGGCCGUCUGCUUCUGUUACCUGUCCUGCACCAGACUCGGUUUUUGGGGACGUCUCUCUGUUCCACAGUGCUUGAGUGGGAUGGUGAGUGACCUAGUUGGACAGAGCCCCUGAUUAAAAGCGUCCCCUCAAAGCUUUGCACUGCCAACGUCUAUCGUCAUUGCCUGGAAAAAAAUCGGUGCAAUCAGAGCGCUGCAUAGACGACCAUGGGGAAAUUCAGAAGAAUCCUUCUCUUGUGCCUUGGCUUUCUUCUAGUCCACGUAAGAGGUCAACGUGACUUUGACUUAGCUGAUGCUCUUGAUCACCCGGAUGACAUAAUUACCAGGAAGCCAACAGUGAUCAGAAGACCAACACGGCCUCUGCUGAACAAUGAUCUGCAUUUAGGAGAUGCUUUUGGUGGAGGUGACAUCCCAAGACAACCUUUAUACCCACCUCUUCCACCACGACCAGGAAGCCACAGUAAUUCUGGAGGUUUUAAUGACUUAGAUCUCGUCGACGGGAAGCCCUUACCACCGCACAUAGCAGAUAAUAUUCUUCUUCAGAAAUGAAGUGGCUGGAGGAGGGGA
rnacentral:lncRNA from 1 species